UAUAUAUAUAUAUGUAUAUAUAUAUGCUUUUCUUAUAACUUCCCUACAUUGAAAAAACAAAACAAAACAAACCCUAAUCUUUGGUCUUGUUUAAUUUAGCAUUUCUAGGUGUCGCUGGAUCAUUUUCAUGUUUCCUUUUACCUUUUGGAUGUUCAGAUUUAGGAUUAGAAUUGUAUAUUUAACUUGAGAUUCUUCAUUCUCCUACUGUGCUUUGUACAGUAUAUAAGCACAAUUAAUUACAAUCAUUGAUUUGUAGUUUGUAAUCACAGAGAGCCUCAAUGAUAAUAUCAGGAUUAAUGAAUAAAAAGCACUAAUUUUUUAAGGCCAUAUUUCUAUUACAAUUAAUAUGUUAAAUGUUUUGUGCUCUAACUGUAUAUGUUUAUUUAGUGCACCUCCUGUAUGGAGUAACCUUGAAAAUUCUGUUUAACCACUUUUAAUGGUUGAGCAGAACACUAACUUUCUAAGUAACAAAAAAGAAGCUUACCCGUAGGUAUCAGUCUAAUUGAUUUAUUAAUAUAGUUAGUUUACACUACUUACAGAAGAUAAGGUAAGUAUGCUAUUUACCUAAAUGAUAUAAUUUGUUGCCUUUCAGUUUCACUUGUACAUUAGUCCAAAAGGACAUGCAAGUUAUUAUAAAGCAGGAAGGCAUGGGGCAACACGCCCUGGCAUAGUUCUUUCUAGAAAGUGUAUCAUUCUUUAACUGUACCAAUAAAAAUAUGAAUUCUAAGCUCUCCAUGAUCUCAUAACUUGCUUUCAUUACAUGAAAAGUGCUUUUGUAUCCUUUAUUGUUUCUGGUUUUGGAUGUGGGUCACAUCUUAUCUUCUAGUAUUUUAUUCUCUUUGGUGUUUAAGUGUUUUGUCUGCAUUCAAGACUGGCCAGUAGGAAUUCGUGUAUAAGAACUGAAGUGAUUUGUUGAUAUGCUCUGAUCUGUGCUGAGCUUGAAGAUAUCCUGCUCAUUUGAGUGCCCUUAAGGUAUAGGUUAAAAAAAGGAAAGGAAAGAACGAAGAGCCACAGUUUGUGGGAAGUAACAAUUAGGGCAGAUGAUAAUUUGACUGAUGGAUAACUCCAUUUCUUUGAUGGAAUUGUUAGCAGGAAUCAGACUUGGAGAAUGAAUGCUUCCAAAGUUCCUGCUGUGUGAUUGUGAAGGAGAAUAAUAACACACUACUCCAUAUGCAUAAGGGCUUUGCCUCUGAUGAAUUCAAAGCACUUUGAAAGGAUUCCAUUAGGACAUUUCUUAAAUAAAGGGUGGGACUAUCAGAAUUUUAUUUUCCACUUUAUAGAUUGGAAGUGAUGUGAUCUCACCAAGGUUUUCCAGGGUUCUGCUCAUGCUUUCCUUUCCAACACUAUACCUCCAGUUUUAUAUUUUACCGUCAAAAAGCAACAUAAUUACGUGCUCCUGUGAAGGAUUUCUAAUAUCCACCUAUUCCCAGUAUCUUCCAAUGCUAAAAGCUUCUUUUUUUAGAACCAGACUGACCUGUAUUAUUUAUUUAUUUAAAAUUCUCUUUAGAAGGUUUUGUGUGUCAUCUGUUGUUGCUCUCUUGGUUCAAGCAUGAUUUAAUAUGUCAACCCUGGUUUGCUUAACUGGGCUUGAUUGUCUUCCAUACUUUACUUAGAACUAGGCAGUGUCCUUUCAAGCAUGUUCCUGCCCAGAUAAAUGAAAAUGUCACAACAGUGAGUACGCCUUGCUUUGUGACAGCAGUAGCUUUCUUUGACACAGUCAGUGGUUGCAAAGAGGGGUUGUGGGGGAAUUUAAAAAGUAAUAAUAGAGCCAACUUAAGUCAAGUCGGUCCUGUUCAAAUCCACACGGACAGGAGCAAUAGAUAAUGCACUUAAACUUGGGGAACUUCACUCUUCGGGUGAAAACGAAGUUAAAUCCAAAGUAGGAAAUUUUUCCCACUGUGGACAAGAGGAAAACAUCUGUUAGCAGUUUCUUUAAAAUAAUACCCAGGGAUAGCACUUGAUUUUUAUAGUUUGAUUUCUUCCAUGCUUUAUUGCCAGACCAGAGAUGUUACUGCUCUCAGUUCAUAACAUUAGAAAUAAUCCACAGGGGAAAAAAAUGUUAACCAUCUCCCACAAUAAAAGUAUUGUUUAUGAUUUCAAAACCUGGAUUCGAUUUUAAAGAGUGGAGGCUGAUGAAGCUUUGUACCUGGCAGAAAGAAAUUCCUCUGUACAUGCUAUUUAAAUAACUUUAAAAGUUAAAAGCAGUUUCAGUGAGAGAUAACCCUAGAAGAAGUGCUUGAGUUUUUUUUGUUUUUGUCACUUGUUCUAUCAUCUGUUGGUGGCUCUACCACCACCCAGGGAUGGUGACCUACCCUCUUAGCAGACGCAGGACACUGGGAAAUGGGAGCAUAUUCUGUGGAGGACAGUCUGCACCAGGUCAGCUAUGCAUGUCAGGGACUUAUUUAAAGACUAAGGAGGUUUUUGAGUGUGUGGAUUUGUAUAAGUAAGUUAAGUGUGAAAAUCUUUAUCUCAAUUUGAGGGGAAAACAAACUGGACCAACAGGGCAUAUUACAAGUAUUUAAAUAUAUGUGACAGGAAUGGAGAGUCAAUUAAUAACACAUUGAUCCGGGACUGAAGAAAAACCUGGCAUUCAGGAAGCACAAAGUUUGACAGAUACCGGAGUUUUGAAAGAAUCUGAUGAAGGUGAAUGUCUUAAUCAAGGGUAACCUGUACCAUCAGUGAAAAGACUGGUCCAAGCAUUUCCAUGAUCAGACCUCAGGAGAACUUGUUAUUUUCAUCUGAAGUUAGAAGAGAAUGGAAUUAAAGUUGAGGGGAAAAGGACCUUGUUCCUAGAAAAUACAAAGUGGGCCAAAGGGAAUAGUUUGACUUUCAAGUGAGUGUCAAAAGCUAGAGCUUAGAAAUAAUAGGGAUCCCAAGAAGUAAGGCCUAAGGUUCCAAACACCAGAAUUGUCAGGAUAUCUUUUUUUUUAAAUGAUUAUUUAUUUAUUUUGAGAGAAAGAGAGAGUGCACGAGCAGGGGAGAGGCAGAGAGAGAAAGAGAAAAGGAAUCCUAACCAGGCUCCAUGCUCAGAACAGAGCCUGGUGCGGGGCUCAGUCUCACAACUGUGAGAUCAUGACCCGAGCCGAAAUCAAGAGUCGGACGCUUAACCGACUGAGCUACCGAGGUGCCCCUCAGGAUGUCUUAAAUGGGAUGAUAAAGCCGAAGAAGGGUUGAUAUGAUUGCAAAGACCUACCAUGUGCCGAUACUGUUAAAUAUUCUAUUCACAUUCUCUCUUUUAAGCUGACAACAUCCUGUGAGGCAUAGUUUCUAGACCAACUGAAAUUCAUGGUAAUUUUGUUUAGAUCACUCAAACUAAAACUAGAAAGUGGCGACCUGACAUUUUGACUCAGGUGUGCCUGUUUCCGAGGCUGUGUUUUUCCACCAUGUGUUCUCCGUUAUAAUACUUAAGCUUCACUUAAUUUGGGAGCUUGAUGCAGAUCACAUGUGUGCCUAUUAGUCUGUUGCCCUUGGCAGCUGCACUAUAAUGUACAUUAGGAACACUGGCACCCCAGAAAGACCUAGGAGCCACCAGAGUCAUCUGGAAGAUUCUUGUCCCCACGUCUGACCUCACACUGAGGACUGGGAAAGACAAUUUAAGGUGGCUAGAAAGGAGGCAUAACAAAGGGUCAGAAGAAUGGAAGACCUAAAACAAAGCAAGACUGAGUGAGCAAAGAGGAGGGAGAAGAACAUGUUAGGGUUCUGAGGGUCUUACCUUGGACAGUAAAAGCCCUGUCAUUAGGCUACACAAGCAAAUAAUCAGGAACCAAAGUAGAAGUUAUUCCGUGUUUUCUAUGCAAACAUCCACAUAGGAGGGGAAACACCAACUUUUGGAAUAAACCUCAUAGUCAUGUUAUGUUUGAGGAGAGCAUGGGUCCGUGGGUGAAGAUCUCUCAAUCCACUGCUGACUGUUUUGCUUUGUGCAUUCUUGUGUACAUGAGUUACUUUGCCUUGCUGGUAUCCUCCUGUAAAUAUUAUAGGAGGCUUUAAGAAAGAUGUUUUGGCUUUCGGAGUAUUUGCGUGUCAUUUUAUUCAAAUUUUGUUUUGCUGGUUUUGUUGGUUUUGCUUUGUUUGGGUAUGUGGUAUGGAAGAAAACAAACUGGACUGUAUAAUGUGAGUGAGGAGACUUCUCAGGAUUCAGGCUUGGGAACGCUCUCUGUGCCUCAUGGACCUGGUUGGAUCUUUAGGUUUUCCUCUCCGCAAUAAAGAAACGAAAUGAUUCUUCAUCUCCCACCAAUCCUGGCAGACUUUCAUAAAUAAAAUAGUACAAUAAAAAAUAAUAUUCAUUUCUCUUUCAACUGACUUAAAUUAAACAAUUAGCUCAAUUGUAAGGGCAAACAUUCUUAUGCUCUAAUGGGUAAAACAGAACUGUUACAGGAAAAAAAAAGUUCAUAUUUAUGUAUUAUUAGACCCAGCUAUAUGCCAAGUAUAUGGAAGGCAAUUCAAUUCUGACAAUAACCCUGCCAGAUAUAUACUGUUGUUUCUAUUUUAUAUUUGAAGAAACUGAGGCUGAUAUAGACUAAAUUUGAUUGCAAGCACCCUGAGUUGAUGGUUAGCUUUGAAUAAAGAUUUGUUUGGCUUCAAUGCAUAUUAACUUUGAGCAAAAAGCAUAUUAUCCCAAGUCACCAGAAGUUACAUUUUAUUUAUUUGAUUUUUUUUAAAAAAAAUUUUGAUGUUUAUUUUUUGAGAGAGACAGAGCAUGAGCGGAGGAGAGACAGACGGACGGAGACACAGAAUCCAAACAGGCUUCAGGCUCUGAGCUGUUAGCACAGAGCCAGACAUGGGGUUUGAACCCACAGACUGUAGGAUCAUGACCUGAGCUGAAGUCAGAUGCUUAACAGACUGAGCCACCCAGGUGCCCCCACAUUUUAUUUUUUAAUUAAAAAGGAAAUGAAACUUUAAUUAUUAGAGUUAUGUGGGGAAGAAAGGACAAAUGUGAUGAAGAUUGUAGCACUGAUGUGGAAAAAAAUAAUAACUGUGACUUGUUUUAGCAAUAACUGGUAUUUGACUUAAAGUUGGUCACAUUCAAAGAUCAAUAUUUGGUGAUAAUUGUAGAAAAAGGUAUAAACAGAACUAAUUCUGUUUAGGUAUUGAUGUAGUCAGUAAUACUAAGAAUUAUAACCAAAAUCAAGAUUGUAUAAUUAUCAUAUAAAUUGAAUAUGUUAUUUACUUUUGGUAGGAAAAAAUUAAUUAAAUCUGAUCCAAUUAUAAAAAAAACUGCUAAUGUGUGACCACUUAGGAAGUACAAAAGAUGUAUUUUCACAUGAUCUAAAAAUAAUAUAUAUGUGUUCACACACUAUUGAUAUAUUAAUGAUACUUCCUCAUUGCUUACGUCAUGAAAAUAAUCUAGGAAAUGAAGAAAUAUGACUGGACACAAAUUCCCUAAGAAUAUUACCGCCGUCCCCCGAUCCUUCUCUCUUAUCCCUCUCCUUUCUUCUCUUCUUCUUUCCUCUUUUUUGUCUGCUUUUGGGAACCCCUAUUUUCAUCUUCCAAAGAUAGUAACUUUCAGAUUUUUCAGUGUAUUUCAAGUUAAAGCUUGAGGUCUUUCCUUUUUACAGUUUUAGAAUUAUAAAUAUUGCUAGUCUUACAUAAUAAGGUCAAAAAAAAAAAAAAAGAGAGAGAGCUAUGUCUCUGGCUGCUAUAGAAAAAGGUAUGUUCUUUUUCUUUAUUUUGUCCAAUCGGUUUCUAAUUCAUAACAUAGUUCAUAAAUGCUCUUUAGAGCUUGUAGAUUUGUAACAGCUGAUUACAACAAAAUGUUCCAUACUUUCUGUAUGGAAAGGACAGACACAAACCAAAUGUAACUGGUUUCCAUUAAACCUCACAUUUCCAUGUUAUUUUCAGAGAAGUCUCACUUGCUUUGGUCUUGGAAACAAAAAGAUUUGUUUUUUUAAUUAUAUUCUGUCAUUUUAGCUUUUCUAUUGCUAACAUGAAUAUAUCCUAUUUAAACCCAGGAAAGUACUGAAUACUUCAGCUCUUAUGGUUAAUUAAAACACACGUAGCACAUAUUUUUCCUCAUGAAGUAGCAUUUGACCUUGAAAAACUCUGAGGCCCAACUCCCAGACAAGAUUUAAAGCCAGGUUAUGUUUUUUUUUCUUUUUUUCUUUUCUCCAAAUCUUAAUUAUUCAUUUCUAAAGCCACUUACGUCUUGCAUUGUUUUGAUUACUUCUACUUAUAACCUCUCUUAAUUUCUUUCUUUCCUCCCUUUAUUAUAAAUUUCUCUAUUAUAAAUUAUUGCCCUCAUUUAAAGUUCUACUUUGUGAGGGGCACCUGGGUGGCUCAGUGAGUUAAGCAUGUGACUCUUGGUUUGGGCUCAGGUCAUGACUCCCGGUUUGUGGUUUCGAGCCCCUUGUCAGGCUCUUCUUAUGCCUCUUUCAGGAGAAACUUGAUUGUUUCCCUGUAAAGAAAGGACAAAGAACUAUAUACUCUUAUGAUAUAUAAAGACAUUGCUUGACUCAUGAAUAUUUGUUAAAUGUAUGUAGAAAUUUUCUGUAAAAAAAACUCAUGCUUUUUGUUCUAUCAUUAGAGAUAGUGAUUCAAGGAUAUUGAAGGUGGUAUUAAUAAUAAUUAUAAUAAUAACAACAUGUCUAAUACUUUUAUAGCAAGUUCUGUGUGCCACAUCCUCUUCUAAGAACUGCAUAUUUAUUAUAUAAUUUAGCCCUCACAGAAACACACACAAACCCUAUGAAUCGGAUAUAAUUUUUAUCUUUUUACAGACAAUUUAUGUAACAAGGUUUAGUCAGUAAGUAGUGAAGUUGGGUAAAAGCUUAGGCCAUUUGCCUCAGAGUCUCUGUUCUUUUUUUCUUUUUUAAGUUUAUUUAUUUAUUUCAGAGAGAUAGAGACAGUGUGAGUCGGGGAGGACACAGAGAGAGGGAGACAGAGAAUUCCAAGCAGGAUCCACACUGUGAGUGUGGUGCCCAAUGCAGGCCUCGAAUCCAUGAAACUGUGAGAGCGUGACCUGAACCAAAACCAAGAGUUGGCCACUUAACAGACUGAGCUACCCAGGUGCCCUCAGAGUCUCUGUUCUUAACCCUUAUAUCAUACUGGCAACGGAGAGACCAGCACAGUUUUAUAAGCAUUCAUUAUUCCUUGAUUUUUCCUUCAAGAGAUAACCAGCUAAAAGAAAAAAAGACCUUAUGUGUGAUCAUUAUAUGAGUGAUAAAUAAAAAUUUAAGUAGACUUCAUAACAAUAUAUUCAUGGGCUAUUCUUUUGAUUGAAAAUCUCUAGCAUGCUUAGGCACUUGAUACUUUUUUCUCACAAAGAGAAUAAUUGAAAUUCAAAGAAUUUCCAUUAAGAAUGACAUUUACAUAUAUGCAAACUCUGUCUAAAAGCAAACACAAAUUGUUAUGAACAAAGCAGUAUUUCCAUUCAAAAGUAUAUUAAUAUGAAAUCUAGUAGAAACUCGUUCCUACUAGAUACUUCAUUUUUGCUCACACUCAGCUCCUCUUGUUUCCUUUUAAACAUGCAACAGAGAACAGGUUCAUUUGUACAGAUGUGCUUUGUCACAUUUGAGCAUUUUUUUGGAAGAGGACAUGGGAGCCAUCCAAAAUCUAGGAAGAUCUUCAUCAUCAAGCCUUUGCAAGAGAUUUUUUUUGAAAUAGGGAUUUGAAAUAUUAUUUUUAAACUUAAAAAUACACAAAUAAUAGCUUAAAUAGUAUAAUUAAAACAUUAAAGAUUGACAUUUUCAGUUGAAGAUAAUUUACCUCUUCCUAAGCGUCAUUAUGACUGUCUCUCCACAGCGAUUUAGUCACAAAGAGAAACACAUUAUAUUUUAAAUAAAUUGAUAGGAGUUUAUGUUGGAAGAAAAUAUCCCCAUUAUAGCUUUUAGAUAUACCUGUCCAUUUAAUUCAUUUUAUUAUUUUAAAAGGAAGAGUAAAAUUCUUAGUUACAUGAGUAGAAGGAUCAGAUAUAAAUGAAAGGGAUCCCCAUGUCCAGUUGGAGUGAUCAUAUAUUAAUAUUUUAGCUGAUUCUUUCCCCAAUUUAAUGUAUAUUGUUAUUCAAUUUACUUAUAAACCCUGUAUCUUAUUUAUAUUGAGCACAUUUUAUUUAUACUUAGCAUAUUAUAUAUUAUAUACAUGGAAAUGAAUGAUUUUAUAUAUGAUUUCAUUUUUUCAUUAUUUUCAUCAUUUUAUGUGAAAAACAAGAAAUAUAUUUUUCUCAUUUAACAAAUAAAAUUUUACGUUAUGAAGGGUGAUAACCACAAGCCAUGGGGAAAAGUACUGGACCACAUUCAAAUUAGCCUUAUUGUUCUAUAAUAUCUUACUGGAGUACAAGGUUAAUUAGUACCAUAGGCAAUAUGCAUUAUUCAUCACUGCAAUCAGGCUUUUAUUCUGCUGGGUUUUUAUCAACUACAAAUUGUUGUUCUUCUUAUAACAAAACCUUGAUAAACUAUUGUCAUAUUUAAUUUUACUGAAUUACAUUGGUGAUACAUACUUUAGCGCUUGUACUUUAAGUAUUCUGAAGAUGCCAUGCCAUCCCAUCUAGAAAAGUAGACAACAAGAUUAAAAACCAAUGUUCUCUUCUAUAAAAGGACAUAAACUUUCAAGACAAUGAAUGCAAGUUAUUGUUUCUUAUUGCAGGUUUUUUUUUUAAUUUUUUAAAAAUUUAAUGUUUAUUUCUUUUGAGAGAGAGACAGAGCACGAGAAGCUGAGGAAGAGAGAGAGAGGGAGACACAGAAUCUGAAGCAGACUCCAGGUCUGAGCUGUCAGCACAGAACCUGACGUGGCGCUUGAACCCACAAGCCGUAAGAUCAUGACCUGAGCUGAAGUCGGACACUUAACCGACUGAGCCACCCAGGCGCCCCUGGAAUAAUUAUUUUUAACACACAUUCUUCUCAUAUAUUUAUAAAAUUAUUAAUUCAUCUUCUCUCUCUCAGUAGAAUGUAAACUACCUGAUAACAGAGACUUUAUGAAACAGUAGUACCUGGAACAAUGACUGACCUAUGCCUUAAAUAUAUUUUUAUUUGAAUUUAAAUAACCAUGCGUAUACAUUUGCAAAUAAUAUAUAUCUGUUGACCAACACUGUAAUGUGACUUCUAUUGCAAAAUUAAGAACAAGGAAAGAACAUCCUUGUCUCCUUUUUUGUUCCUGUAUGUCCCCUUCUCUUAUAUAAAGGAGACAAAAAUAGGAAAAAGGAAGAGAAGUGAGGCACCUGGGUGGCUCAGGCAGUUGGGCAUCCAACUUCAGCUCAGGUCAUGAUCUUGCAGUUGGUGGGUUCAAGCCCCAUGUCGGUCUAUGUGCUGACAGCUCAGAGCUUGAAGCCUGCUUCAAAUUCUGUGUCUCCUCCUCUCUCUGCCCCUCCCAUGCUCAUGCUCUGUCUUGCUCUGUCUCUCAAUAAUAAAUAAACAUUUUUUAAAAAAUAGAAAAAAAAGGAAGCGAAGUAACAGCAAGAGGGCAACACAGAAAUGAUUAUCUAUUAUGUAAUCCAAAGUUGUAGAAUCAAAAGAUAGUCCUAUAGCACGAAUCCUAAUUCUCAUUUUCCUUCAUUUUACAUCACUGCAGACAAAAUUUUAAUUAAAUCAGAUAAAUUGAUAAAUUUCUCCUUUUCCUUACUUUUCAGAAGUCGGAUCAUUAAGAUUAACCACAAACAGCACAGAUGCAAGACAGUUGCAACAGAUGUUAACAUGUAAUUUUAACAUUUUAUUUUUCAACAGGGACUAUACAUGUCGAUUUCAUAGAUUGCUUUGUAACCUUCACUUGCCUGGAGAUCAGUUGUUAAAACAAAUUUUGGCUAUAGCAAGACACUUCAGUUUAUUGCUUUUUGAUAAUUUGUCCAUAAACAAAUGAUUUUUUUCCCUCAUAGGUAUGAUUAGGAAAAUUUUUGAGAUUCUUUUUUUUCUUUUCUUUUCUUUUCUUUUCUUUUCUUUUCUUUUCUUUUCUUUUCUUUUCUCUUUUCUUUUCUUUUCUCUUCUUCUUUUCUUUUCCAAUCACCAGUCACUUCUAAUAUUCAAACAAUGAUUUAGUCUUUGACUUCCAGAGGAAGAGAAAAACUAACAGAAAAUAUUUUAUGAGUAAGGAAUAUCAGUUUUGUUUACCUGAUGCAGAACUUUCCAUCUAAUUUAGUCUGAGUCUAAAAUUUUAAAUGGAAAGUUAUACAGGGUAUAGGUAAAAAUACCUGCUUCCCUGUCUUAGGAAGUUCUAUUCUAAGAAUAGAACUAUAAUCUGGAAAAUAUUAGUCAUAAAUUGUUUGUCUCAUGGAAACUUCUACACUAAGUUACCAUGUUAAUAAUGUUGGUUUCAAUCUAUUAAGUCAUUCUUUCCUUCAGAACACAUUGAGGACAUUUAUUUAUUUAUUUAUUUAUUUCCUACAUCAAUUAAAAAUGUUUAUGGCAAUCCAGGUACUGUGUAGUUGAAGAGGAAGUUUAUUUGCAGAAAAAGGAAAAAAAAAGCUUUACUCUCACACCUGUAUAUACUUCCAUAUAAUCAAGCAUGAAUAUUUUUCACCUUUUCAAGUUAAUUUUAUUGCUUAUGUGAUUGUUAGAAUGUCUAAGUGCAGAGAAUUACGAACAAAACCUUGUUAAAACUUUUGAAUAUUUAUCUUAUGACUUCAGCAUAUCAUACAAAGCCUCUUUAGAAACCAUCCAUUAAACUGGUAUGAAAUAGUCAUUAUGUCAAUGAAUUAAUUAUUCCCAGCCUAUUUUUUUUUUUUACUGAAGGAAGGAAAUAAAUUGAAGACAUUUCUAACUCAAGAUCUGAUACAGAAUUUUAGCAUGCUGCAGUUAAGACAAACAGAAAUUCAAAAUAUCCUUAUUGGAGAGCAUGGGUGGCUAAGUAGGUUAAGAAUUUAACUCUUGAUUUCAUCUCAGGUCAUGAUCUCACAGUUCGUGAGAUUGAGCCCCAACUCAGGCUUUGCACUGAUAGCAUGGAGCCACUUGGAAUUCUCCUCUCCCUCUUUCUCUGUCCGUCCCCAGCUCUCUCUCUGUCUCUCUCAAAAUAAAUAAAUAAAUAAAUAAAUAAAUAAAUAAAUAAAUAAAUAAAUAAAAUGUUUUAAGAAAAUACAUCCUAAUGGCUGACAUAUUUUACAACUCAUUACCUUUAGUCAACAUAAUCUGUAAAAAUCCAUGGAAGGAAAGAUACCAAUUUAAGUUUCGAAGAACCCAGACUGAUGAUGAAUGAAGACAUAGAUGGUUAAUGGUGUUUCAGAAACCAUCUCUGCUGGAAACAGGUGACUAUGGUUAAGUCACGUUACUUGCCAAAGCCUCCAUUCUUUCUUUGAAAGAAAGAUUGGCUUAGUACAGUACUUUUUAGAAUGAGUUUCCUAGACAUUCCUCUGGUCCUUAAAGAUCAUUUAUUAGGGUUUUAUGGGUUAUAUUUUAAUUUCCACAAAAAUCUUAAAAAGUGUCUUAGUGCUUCCGGGUGCUAUAUGAAAUACCAGAGAUUGGGUGGUGUAUAAACAAACACAUUUAUUUCUCACAGUUCAGGAGGCUGGGAAGUCCAGGGUGACCAUGGUGGCAAAUUUGGUAUCUGAUGAAAACCCUUUCCUGGGUACAGACUGUAGAUUUCUCAUAGAGUCCAUGGUGAAAAAGACUCCCUCUGAAGUCUCUUUAAUAUGUCAUCUAUUCCAAUCAGGACUCAACCUUCAUGGCUUUAAGACGUUUCAAAGACGGUCCCUACUGAUACCAUCAUCUUUGGACGUUAAGGUUUCAAUAUAAAUUGGGGAACAGGGGUGCAAACAUUCAUACCAUAGCAAAAAGUAAUGUAAAUAUGUUCUAAAUCUGAGUACUGGCAGAAUGUGCAUUUUAUUUAGGUCUGCUCAUGUACUGUUUAAAAGUAACCCUUUAUUCAAAUUCAGUUUUCUUAAAUAUUAAUUAUUCAAAGUAAAGGUAAAAGAAUAGAGCCAGGUCAUUUGUAAAUGACACAUGACCAACCAAAAUUCAAAUGAAAAUAGUGUUCAUUGUGUGGAUAAAUGUUUUACAACCUUUAACUAUAGAAUAGUUUCAAAAUAAUUGAAUCAUCACUUUGAUUAAACUCAAAAGUUCCCCUGGAGUUCCUGAGUGUCUCAGUCGGUUAAGAGAUUCAUUCUUGGUUUUGGCUCAUGUCAUGAUCUCACAGUUGGUGAGUUCAAGUCCCACAUCAGGCUGCACAGGUGGCAGCCUGGAGACUUCUUGGGAUUCUCUCUCUUUCCCUCUCUCUGCCCCUCCUCGGCUCUCGCUGUCUCGGUCUCUCUCAAAAUAAAUAAGCAAAAUUUUAGAAAAAGAAAAGUUCCCCAUGUAAUGACAGCAUAUUUGAACACAGCAUUUUAGUUUCAGCUAAAUAGCAUGAUCUGUCACAUUAAUUAGUAUUGUUAAUUUGAAUUUUAUUGGUUCUAUAGUUUUAUUUAUAUUAACUUUGUAAAAUUAUUUGGCUUUAUAGUUAUAGCAACUGUAAACUAAUAAUUUUAUCUUUAGCUUUAUAUAUUUAUAGACAGUCUCUGCCAUACAAUGUUUCAACUAGCUACCAUGGUUUUGACUGCACAGUGGUGACCAGUGAUUCACAUUUGGUAGAAACCAUACUUCAAAUUUUGAAUUUUGGCCUUUUCCUGGACAGUGAUAUAUGAUUGAUCCUCUUUCGUGCCAUAGCUCCCACUCAAGCACACCAUCAUGAGGGUAAACAACCGCUACAUUUAUAAUAAUUCUGUACGCAUACAACCAUUCUAUUUUUCACCUUCAGUACAAUAUUCAGUAAGUUACAUGAGAUAUUCAAUACUUUAUCAAUACUUUGUUAUAAAAUAGGCUUUGUAUUGGAGAAUUUUGCCCAACUAUAGGCAAAUAUAAGUGUUCUGAGCAUUUGUACUACGCUAUGAUGUUCAUUAGGUUAGGAGUGUUAAAUGCAUUUUCAACUUACGAUAUUUUCAACUUACAUUGGUUUAUUGGGAUGUAACCCCAUUGUUAGUUGAGGAAGACCUAAGCAUAUUAAGUAAGGUAACAAAAUUUUUUCAAAAAUUAAGUACUGAGAGAUAGAAUGUUUUUCUUUAUAAGUGACUGAACGUUAUUCAAGUUUUAGAACUUGGUUCUAAAAUUAUUUUUCUUUUUGAAAAUGAAAUUGUUGUAUUAUUAUCAGGCUUAGUACUUUAUGUACUUUUACCAUGAAUCAUAUACUCUAGGAUGUUUUCUGAAUGACUAGUAUAUGGAAUUAAAAUUUUCAAUAUAGAAACAACCUUCUACUGUUGUUGCACACUCAGCAUUGCAUUCAUCUAAGUUACUUGUUCUUUAAGUGAGAAUCACUGAAGAAUUAUUUUUAACCCUUUGAGGUGUGUGUACAUUGGUAGGCUAGCUCAAGAAGUCUUAUUACUGUUGGUUUGAAAUUACUCUGCCCAGAAAAAAAAACAAAAACCAAAAUUUAUUGUUGCAGUUUUCUUAGUUGAUACAUAACUGAUUAGAAAUCAACUCUUUAAAAAGUGGAAAUGAUCAGGUUUGAAUCACACUGAGUGGAACCUUUAAGUACUGGUGGAUUUGAUCCUAUAGGGCUAAAGAAUCUUUCUGAAGUAUGGGGAAAACAAAUACAAUGAGUAAUAAGAGGAACUAUAUUUCUAAUUUCAUAAUUAAGAAAUAUUUUGAAAGCAUCAAUUAUAUAUCACAAAGCAUUAUAGAUAUCAUGGGACUCAUUUGUUUCAAUAUUCAUAUAUCUUGCUUCGAACGUUAAGCUGCACAGCCCCUGCCCUGAAAUGGUAGGUACUUAUACAUAUAACACUGGCAACAUACUGAGAUGAAAUAGUAGAAAUUCUACAUUUUCACGUCAAACUGCUUAUUUAAUUAUUUUGUAGUUAAAGGAAUAGGUUUUCCCAUAAGAAUUUUUGAAUAAUCUCAAAAAAUGUGUUUAAAGUCUAAAGAAAGUAAAAUACCUACUGGCUAUAAAAGUAUGCUCAUAUAGUCAUUUCUGUCAUAUACUGACAUUUCAAGACACCAAAUAAAAUCAUUGUUUUUCACAUUAAAGUGCAUUUUCUAGCUUAAGGUCUGAUUGAGGGCCUUAUUAGUAUAAUAUUUGAUUAUUUCCAAAAAUAUGCUCUUAUCAUUUUUAAUAGCAAGCUAUAGCAUUUCCUGUCAAUAUGGAAUUCUCUACACAAGAAGACUGUAAUUAUAGACUCUGGAGAUAUUUUAGAAUGAAUAAAAGGCAACAUUAAGGGUACCUUUGUUUAGUUCUCUCUUAUUUAUUUUAUUUUAUUUUUGUUUAUUUUGUUUCCAAAUUAUUGCCUGUCUUGAUGCUAAAUAUCAUCCAUGUAUUUAUCAGUAAACUUCAAAAACCUGUUUUCUAAUGCUUUUUUUUAAUUUUUGUUUAUUUAUUUUGAGAGAGAGAGUGAGUACGUGCACACAUACAAGCGUGGGAGGCACAGAGAGAGAGAGGGAGAGAGAGAAUCCCAAGCAGCUUCCAUGAUGUCAGCUCUGAGCCCCACAUGGGGCUCAAUCCCACAAAUUGUGAGGUCAUUACCUGAGCAGAAAUUAAGAGUCAGAGGCUUAACUGACAGAGCCACCCAGGGGCCCCUCUACUGUGUCUUUUCUGUCCUCCCCCCCUUUUAUAAGACAAAAAUCAAACAGCAUACAUGCUUUUAAUUGCAAACAGUGAAAUCUUUACCCGUAUAAGACUUUAAAUACAUUCAUUACAUAAUGGAAGUCUUUACAAAUUUGCACUGCACCAAUUACUGUCUGAAUUCUGCACUGAACACAUAGCGAUGGCUCAGAUCAUGCAGAGCAUGUGCAAGUAGGACAGUGAUUUCACCUGUAUGUCUGUCUCCCUCUGCUCACUGGGACUGCCAAGACCCACCAUACCCCGGUUCCUUAAAGAUGAACUGCAGCUGCCCCAGCUUGUGCCUCUGGUGAUGACAGUGGAGAGGCUGAGCACUGAGUUCUUGGCUUAUCUGUGCCUUUCCAGCCUGCUUGUCCUCUACUCGUGCUAUCUGUUACUGACCUUUCUAUGGAAGAGAGGGAAGGGGAAAAAUUAGGAGGAAGAACUACAACCGUAAUUUUUCUGAAUGUAAAAGUUUGGAAGUAACAAACAGUAAAGCUGCUGUAUGUGCAGGAUGUAUCUAAUACAAAAAACAGCUGGGGUGGGAAUGGAGUUAUAUUGAGGAGAGUGUUAUAUGAGAAAUACCCUACAAGACUUCAAUUACACGUUUGGGAAGGGUGUGGAGAUCAGAUAGAGAUAAGAGUUAGAAAUAAAAAUUAGAUGUAAGUAGAAGUAUAUUCAUAGAGAGAGCCCAAGAAAUAACCCAUUUUCAUGCAUAAAAUUAUUUGUAAAUACCUUGUAUUUAAUUAAUUGAAGACAAGUGCUAGAUAUUCUACUAGGGACACAAGGUGAACAAAGAACAAAAGGUUACUGAGUUCAUAGAGACUAUUUCCAGCCUGACUGGUAACAGCCAGCCUGGUCUGACAGAAAUGUGACCCAAUUUUGUCAAGACACUCCAGUAUUCAUGCUCGGCACAUACUUCCCAUUUGACCUUUUUUCUGUAAACCGAUUUCCAGAAAUUGUAGCUGUAUUUCAACUGAUACUUUAGAUUAUAGGUAGGUAGUUGCAUUUCUUCAUGUUUGAUGUAAUGUUUUUGACUAAAAUGAAACCUCAGUUGUAAAUAAUCUAGUCUGUUUCAAAUUAAAAUGUUGGGGCGCCUGGGUGGCUCAGUCGGUUAAGUGUCCGACUCUGGCUCAGGUCAUGAUCUCACAGUUUGUGAGUUCUAGCCCCGCAUCAGGCUUUGUGCUGACAGCUUGGAGCCUGGAGCUUGCAUGUGGUUCUGUGUCUUCCUCUCUCUCUGCCCCUCCCCCACUCAUGCGUGUGCUCUCUCAAAAAUAAAUAAACAUUAAAAAAAUCAAAUUAAAAUAAUAAUAGUGUAUAUACUAAAUUUGCUCAGAACUUUUAGGUAAAGGAACAACAAAUAAAUUGUGCUUACAUUAUAAUUAUGUAACUUAACUGACCAUGGGAGGGUUUUUCCUGCAUUAGUCUUUAAACAGCACAUGAAUUGCUUAUGAGCCUCCACAGAUGCAUAGUAAGUUACUUCAUAUGCUAUUAUCAUGCAUGCAUGAUAUAGCAAAUGUUUUUAUAAUUCACAAAAAUGAUGUAAUUGUCACUGAUUUAUAGAAAGCCUUGGAAAGGAAAUGCCUAAUUAUUACAUGAAUGAACAUAGCUAAAAGUAUUAAUUAAAGAAGAUACCUUGCAAUACUCAAGUCUAAUAGACAAUGGUCCUUUAAAAACAGGGAUUCUCAUACAAGUUUUGAAAAACAAUAUAUAUGCAGUUGCUGCAAAACCUACUCUUAAGAGAUUAAAAAUAUGGUGAUAGCAAAUUAAUCUUAAAUCUGUAUUGGGAGAAUAAAACAAUAAUAAUUAUAAAAAUAAACCUUACCUUCAGAUACAAUUUUUAGCAAAUGCUUCUUUCUUUGGUUAGAAGUAAAAUGCACAUGCAGACAUUCUAUUAGCAACCAUGUUUGAAUGAUUUAUACGUGUUUAAGAAAAAUAGGAUUUUUUUUUAUUUCUGUGGUGUAUAAAAUUCAUCUCUGUGCGGAGAGAGAAAUGUCAUUCAGACUGAUGGACGUGGAGUGAGGUAGCAAGGGACUGAGCAUUUGCAUUGAGUAUGAAGUCAACUCCUGAAUUCCCAGUGGUGCUACUCCAAAUGUCUGCCUGUCCUAACUUCACGAACUUUUCAUAUGUGUCUGGGGUGAGAGAUCUCCCAAGUGAAUAGAGUUAUAAAAUAAGUGACAAUCCAUAGUAAGAAAUAAGGAAAAUAUACCAAAGUCUCUGGUAACAAGGAGUUAUGUUUUUUAUGUUUUACAUUUGAAUUUGUGUAUAAUUUAAGAAUGGCACUUAACCUACUGCAUGAAUCAAAGUUGAGACAGAUGAGUAUAAAGACUGUGCUUCCUUGGGUGAAUGAUAAUUGCACAUUCACAUACUACAUGCCUUACACUUGUCUUAUUUUUAUACUUCGCCAUUUUUUCCAUGUGGGUGAAGAGCUCUGUCCUGGAGAUGUUUUUAGUAACCAAAAGUUUAUAGCAAAAUUAUAAAAUGUCAUGCCUUUGGUCAAUCUUACAUAAUUAUUUCUAAUAGAAUCCUCAUUACCUUAGGAUAGUGGUGUGAAUUUGCUAUUGGAUUUAUUAAUAGGGGUUUUAAAAAUAUUGAGUACUAAAUCUGAAUAUAGAUUUGAUCUUUUCAUAGGGGGAGGGGGAGGGAAAGAAUUGGCAUAAUUUAUGAGAAAAAAUAAACCACUGCAAUGCUAAAUAUAACAUUUCCAUCUCUUUACAGAGGGUUAGAGGGAAAACAGAGACCCUGAAUAGAUAUUUUCAUAUAGAUAGUUUCACUAAGUAGUAGAGUUUUCAGAUAAGCUAGCAUCUCCAUGUUGAGUUAUGGUAGCAGUAGGUGGAGAGACUAGAUGAUUUCUACGUCAUGAAGUUGCCGUGGGGUGGGAUUUGUGCAGCAAGAGGAGUCCUAAGAUUUCUGACAAUCCAAGGUGUUGGGCAGUAGGGAUGCUAUAAAAUAUGACCUGCCAAAUUUCACUGGAAAAGAUUCAUUUUGUGGUGAUUCAUUUUGAGCUUCUUUCUGAUCUACUUAAUUGUUCCAGGUUGUAUGUGCAUUGUGUUGAUUAUUCCUUCCUAAAAUUUCUCAAAAUUUUAGAUCAUUUCCCUGGAUUUAUCCUUUUUGAGAGGUAGCAAUAGUCUUUUUCCAAGUUAGACCUUACUUUGUGGAAGAGAAUUUGUCCAAAUUACACUCCUAUACCAGCCUCUUUACCAUAUCUCUAGAAAGGAAACACUGUCCAGUAAGACCAGGGAUUUCAAGUUACCAUAUCUCUACUCUGAUCUUGAACUGGAAGGUAGGAUCCAGAGAACCCAUCAGAAGUUUCAAGGGAUUUAUAAGAAAAGUCAAUUGAUGAUGGACUUUCACAGAAACACUUAGCAUCCCUGGAGUAUUACUGGUGCAUUCUGCUGUGACAAUUCAGCACUCUCUGAAGAAAUGAUUUGUAAUGGCUACCUAAUAUUCUGCAAUUAUAAAUAUAUAUUAGCAAUUUAUUUUAUAAUUUGCCUAUUAUUAAACAUGUAGACUACUUCCUUGUGAAUAAAAUUUCACUAAGUUUCCAUUUAAACAAAUAUUUACCUGCAUUUCUAAUUAUUCUCUUUUUUAUAAAAUUUAAUGUUUUAUCGAACAGAUCUAUGGUUCAUUUUUUUCUCAAAUGGAAAGCCAAAAUAGUAUUUUAAGAGUGUGGAAAAGUAAAGGGAGUGAAUUGUCAUAUUGAUACAUUUAGUGAGUAGUAAAAUGAAUAGAAGAAAAUAUGUAAAACUUUGGGUUGGAAUUGCAGGAAAAACCUUUUAAGGACUGAAGAUAUUUUUACAAAACUCUCACCUUGACUAAAAACUACACAAAUAAGAAUAUUAGUUUACACAAACACCAAAUUGCACAAGACCCCAGUAGGCAGAGAAAUGGCCAGGAUAGAAGGAUAUAGGCAGUGGGGGCAGCCAGUCUGCAGAAGGUUUGGCUGGAUGGAGACUGGGGACCCAACCGGAGGCUGCAGCUCAGAUCUAGGACCUGUAAGGAAGAGCAGGCUGGGAAGCUUAGAGGCAGAGCUUAGUGCAUCCACCAAAAACCCUUGCUUUCCCGUCAAGUUUCUAGGGUGCUGGUGCUUUCCUCAGGUGAGGUCUAAUUAUUUUCUUCAUUUAUUUUCUAAUUAUUUUCCCUAAAAGUAUGAAGAUGUCUGAGUAUUUUAAAGGUUUUGAAAUAUAUUCAAGUCUACCUUAACAGGAUUGCUGUGAUAAUUAUUAUUACAUAAAUAACUGAGAGUGAAGGACACAUUUUACGUUUUUUUUAUGUUUCUACACACACAUGCUUGUCAUAUUCCGUAUACAUAAACUGAGAGAAACUCUUUGCCAGAGAUCUAGAUUUACAGCCACAAUUGCUAUGCAAACUUUUCAGCUAACAUAUGGCUCAUUAUAUUAUUAAAGGGGACAGAAAUUGAUAAGCAUGUCUUGUGCCCUAAAUGUCUAAAUUCUUUUUCUUUAUUUCAUGUAUUACUGGAAUGAUUCAUUCUUCAAAGCUAUUAGAUGUGGUGAGGGCUUGGGUUUAAAUACAGAGACUUGAUUCUGUUUCUAGACCACAUAUUCAUCUCUAGAAUGAUUGCAUUGGAAGUCAAAUCAUAUAUUAAAGUGAUAAAAUAACAUAAAUAAGUAUGAUUACAUUAUCAUAAAUAAUAAAAUUCUUCUAUCAAUAAAAAUACACUUAAAACUUAUUGCAGAAUGACUUUGAGAGAAAACUUUCUGAAGAGUAAAAGCAAUCCUGUGUACUUUUGAUUUGAGCCUAAAAGCAACAUCAUUAUUUAGGGAUGAGAUUAAAAAGGAACAUGAGAAAUUCAUCACCAGUCAAUAAAAACAAACAGAAAGCAUUAUUCAAAGUCAUUAUUCAAAGAACUAAAUUUCAGAGUUAUCCUUAUUGUAUAAUUGAAUUAUUUAUUCUCUACUCCUUAGAAACUUGCAUAUUUUCAUCAGAGCUCUAUAAAGAGAUAUUUGACAACUGAGAAAAUGAUUCAUACUUUAUACUUGUAUUACAAUAUGGAAAUCAUUAAAAUCUUCAUUAGGAUCAGAGUUAUUUCUAAACUUAUAUUCAGAUAUAAGACCAGAAAAGGAAUAGGGAAAUAAGAAUAUUCUAACCCUUUCAUAUCAGUACAUGCUUCAGUUGCAACAUUUUUGUUAAUUAAAACUUUACUUUAAAAGAGGGAGUAAGUUGAUGUAAAAAGUAGAAAUUAUAUUAAUUAUUUUGGCGAGUUAUAUUUCAAAUAAGGAAUAACAUAGCAUGAUUUUAGAAGGCUUAUUCUAAUUUGUUUAUUUCACAAUACAGAAAUAAUAUUUGAAAAUAUGACUUAACUUUGGAUACAAAUAUUGACAUAGUAUUGUGCAACUGUAAGAACCAAAAUUCUGAAUACAUUGAAAAACAAAACAAAAGUUAAAAAACACACACACAAAGACUAAUUCCUGUGACCAAAAUACACAUUUGUAUUGCAAAAUGAUGUACACAUAAGACCUCAAAAAUCACCUUAAGUUAAAAACUGGAUUCUUGUGAGUGCUGGAGUUAAGCAAAUAAAGAUUGGAAAACAUAAAUACAAAUGGUAAUCAAUGUUGUUUGAGAAGCAAACCUCCUUCCCUUAAAUUCCUUGAAAUUAUUAUUUUCAGUACUAUUUAAGCCUUGGUACUUAAUAAGAAAAUGUUAAAGAAUUGACGCAUUAACAGUUUCAUUUACCUUCUCAAGCAGACCAUUUCAUGAUAGUCCUCUUAUAAAUUUUAUGGUACUGCAUUAUAUCUAUUUUAAACCUAUUGAUUUAGAGCUUUUAGGGAAUGUAGUUUCUUUGAAUUUGAUUUUUAAUUCUAAGUAAACCAUAUUGUGCAUUUUUCCUGUUAAGUGGACCAUAUUACUUGCAGAUGGGCUACUUUGUGCAUUAUAAUCAUUAAGGAUUACUUUUUAAGGUACUUUAAGAUAUAGUCACCUUACCCCUAUCUUCCCCUUUCCACUAUUCCAGUAAAUCUUUCUAUAUUUCUCUGUUUCUUCCUUGCCACUUUCUCUCAUGAAGAAAUGUUUCCAGAAAGGAAUGUUCUAUUUACUAAGGUAAGAGGAGGAGUGAGGGAGGGAAGAAAGAAAGAAGGUGGAUUUUGAAAUGGAAGAGGAGGAGGAAAUGAAACCAAACCAGUGAAUAUUUGGGUCUUAUUUCUCUCAGUUAUGUCAUGUCCAGUCUCUCCAGAAACAAUUACAUUUUCUUUACUUGCUGCUUUCAUUGCCACUGCCUUCUCCUAAAUGUAUAUCUUAAUUUUUGUAUUAAAAUAUGAUAAAUUAAUUUAAUAUUAAGAAUUUUCUCUUUAUUGGCUUUAACUGAAGAAUCUAUGGUAUAGUUAUAGAGUGAAUUAUAAAAAUCAUGCUAAUGGUAGGGGCUCCUGGGUGGCUUAGUCAGUUAGGCAUCUGACUCUUGGUUUCGGCUCAGGUCAUGAUCUCACGGUUUCCUGAGUUUGAGUCCCACAUCGGACUCUGUGCUGGCAAUAUGGAGCCUGCUUGGGAUUCUCUCUCUCCCUCUCUCUCUGCCCCUCCUCUGCUCAUCCUGUCUCUGUCUCUCUCAAAAAUAAAUAAAUUUUAAGCAAUUUAAAAAAAAAAUCAUGCUAAUGGUUUAAAAUAUACAUAGCUAAUGAAAUGCUGCCUAAGAAUAUUGUGGUUUUUAGAGACAGAAUAUUACAGAACACUCAUAAUUAGUUAUGUCUUCCACCUUAAAAAGGUGAUAGCGUAUCUGUUCUUUAGCUGAUCUUCAUCCUUAAGCAGUGACCUUUUUUUUUUAUCCUAGAGCAAUACAACUUAGAUGGUUUGUAAAGGCUAUUCUGGAAAGGAAUGACUAGAGCAUUCAUCUAUUUCAAGGCUCAGAAAAGGAGGAUCAGAAGAACAUUCAUAAGUAUAUGUGUAUGAGGGAAGAGUGGAAACAGGUGGUCCAAAUAGCUCAAGGCCAUCACACCGGAGACUUUCAACCAAACAUAGCAAAACUUAAGACUAUAGGAAUAGAUUCAGAAAGCCAAAUGGUACCUCUUGUCUUACACUGACUCUUUGACUUCAUUAAUGCCCCAUUGAGGUUGAAUAAAAUAGUCUGAUAUUUCUGAUUUUAAAAUUUUCUAGUUUUUAAUACUUUAUGAAUUGCAUAAGUGUCUGAUCCUGAUGUGAUCUGAAAUUAAUAAUAUAUGUAGAGGUUUGGUCUUAUCAUCUUCUACUAGAGAAUGAAGCAUAUCUUGGGGUGGGAAGAACUCCGAACUCAUGAAACAUUUAAACUACCCAGUUGUCCAAUGGUCUAGCUUCCUUUCUAAUCUGUGAUAUGUAUCUAUAGACCUUCCUCCCUACUGAAUGGAAAUUACAUACACACACACACAGAUCUAUUUAGUAAAUAUUGUGUUGCUUACAUGGAAAUUUUAGGCUGUAUAUAUUUUUGUUAGAGGGGGCAACUUCUAUAGCAAGAAGAUCUUCAAAUUUUACCAAAUGUCUGAUUAAAAUCUAAAGGUUUUUUUCCUUCAGGAUUGGAAGAUGAGGGUGUACCAAACAAGGAUUAGUAAUCAUUGUAUUAGGCAAUUUACUAAUUUACUUAGUUAACUUUCAGAUACUUAAUUUUGAGGUGAAAUGGCAGAACUUUUACCCAUAUUAAAUAUAAAAACAUUAUUUAUUUUUUUUAUUUGUAUGUUCCCAUAACAGGUGAAUGGUUUAUGGUCACAUUUAUUUUUAUUUCUUUCAUAUAUGAACUAUAUUCCAAUUUUUAUGCAUGUUUUCAAUAAAAAAAGAAUAAUGUAUAUCUUUAAUCAGCAAAAACAUUCUGAAUUGACUUGCUUUUAAUUUACCUGAUUCUAAUUAAAGUUGUCCGAUAAAUAUUCAUAUGCUCUAAAAAAUCAAAUUUGAAACCUCAAAUACAAUAUUG